CUUGCUGCCCCUCUCCCACUCCCCCCGCUCUCAAAAUCAAUAAACAUGAAAAAAAUUAAAAAAAACAAACUUAGGGUGUCACUUCCAUGACAACUGUUGCUCAUGACCUAGAGACUCUGGCUUUUCCAUUCUCACACAGGACUCACCUCUAUUUGGUGGUUAUUUAAUCAUCACUGGCUUUUGUUCACCUGUCUAAGCCUGCAUUUCUUCCCAAAGAGUGUUCCACGGGAUGGAAUGGUUCCACAGGACGCUCCAUGAGGAAGGGCCCAUGGUCAGGCCAGCUUGGGAAAUCUCCUUAUUUCAGAGACCCACAGCUCUCCUUGGUACAUUAGAGAUUCUGAGAAGUACUCCUGUGAGGCAGUCCCACGAACUGCCUACUCAAGGUUCCCUCAGAACCCAGUUUUUAGAGAACUCCUGUGAGCGUCCUGCGCAAUACCUACUUUGGAAGAUGCUCUGGGCUGCAGGUGGACAUUGUAUCACAUUUCAGUUUGUUCUGGAAAGAUCAAAAUUCUCCCUAGCUCAAAAAUCCUCUGCUCCUCUAUGGACAUGUCAGUGAGGGCUUGGCUCACACAGCAUCUGAGUCACUCAGGCUACAGUGGGUACCCCCUCCGAGCCUGUCUGUGUCCCUCCUAGCCUCUGGGAUUCCCUGAGGAAGGAGCAGGCUGCAACCAUCACAGUUGCAGGUCUUUUGUGAGAGAAACUUUAUGCCCUGAAAAAGGAAGUGCCCUCUGCACACUGGCCAGCAUUGGGGAGGAGGGGGGGGCAGGGGCAGGGGCAGGGUAGAAAGGCCAGCCUUGUGCUGAUGUGAACAUCCUCCUGGGGUAAAGCACACACCCUCUGCAGCAAAGCACAUUCAAGUCCCAUUUUCUUUCUUGCUUUUUUUUUUUUUUUAAUUAUUAUUCAUUUAUUUUUGAGAGAAAGAGAAAGAGAGCAGGGGAGGAGCAGAGAGAAAGGGGGAGAGAGAGAAUCCCAAGCAGGCUCUGUGCUGUCAGUGCAGAAAUCAAGAGCCGGAUGCUUAACAGACUGAGCCACUCAGGUGCCCCUAAGACCAAUUUUCAGAGUGGGUUUAGCCCAUGGAAGCCACCAGAUGGUGAGGCCUGGACAUGGAAAUCUUCCAAAGUAUCCUACAGAAUCAGCCUGGGUCAAGACCAGACAGCUCCCUGCUGUAUAACCAUAGCCCACACCUGUCUACUCUGGAAGCAAGCUUCACUCCCAAGGCCCUCUCUCCUACAUUUUAUAAGACAUAAAGAUGGGCCUGGAGGCACGGAGGUAUCUACCAAAGGUCAAAUCCCUACCUAGCUGAAGAGAAGAUAAGAACUUGGAUCUCUUGGCAAGUACUCUGAAGGUCGAUGAACUUUACUGAAGGGAAAGGAGGCCACCACCAGCCUGGGCUGUUUUGAGAAGUACCAGGAAAGGAGUCUGUCUCCACCACAGGUUGAGGGGUUGAUGCUGUGGAAGACGGACGAGAAGGCACUGCUCGAGAAGCGUGGGGAGGACAGGGGAAAGCUCAUGCUCACGGGCCGCUCUGUAACCAAGACAAGCCAUGGAGGAAUGGAGGACUGCUUUUGUUCUAAGCCUCCCCAGAAAAGUGGUUUCAGGCACCAACCACGGGCCGGCGAGAAGCCACGUGGGCCACCUGGAAGAAUGGAGAUGGUGUCCCCAGGUUACCUCUCAUCAUGCCUGGGACAUCCCCGCCCCUCUUCUUCAGCUCCCCAUAGCAGCCAUCACAGACCUUGGCCAUCCGGUCCUUGAGGUGACUGCAUCAAAGAACCAGGUAGCACUGUGGAGUA